AGUGCUGCUGCUGCUGUUGCGAAGGCGACGGCUGCACGCAAACUGGAGCGUGGCGGCGAGUCCAUCGUUUGCCUCCGACCGAAUGAAGUUCAGCAUCUUUAUUUAGACUGCAGGAAAUCCGAUGAGACCACAAAGCUCUUUUCUUCCACAGGUGUCCAGAAUGACCCGGAAGUCGCCCAGAUCUCGUCAUAUCUCGGGCCGCAAGGCGACGGUCAAGCCAGGAUCUGGUGCCAGCAUGAGAGCCAAUUGAAAACGUGGGGGGACCGGACGGAAUCGACGGAUGGAGCCAAAGGGGACCAUCGACGCCUUUAAUUAGCGCGAGUUGGAAAGCUUUCGAAAUUAGACGACGGUAAGAAAACAAAAACGAUGUCUCUCAAAUCGAACUCUGACCCUACACCCCCCUCCCCACCUCUCCGAAUCGCCGCGA